rnacentral:lncRNA from 1 species
GUCCGGGAGUGGCGGCGGCCAAUCAGCGCGCAGCUUCCAUUUUGUGAGUUCAACUCCGAGGCUCCCGGGCUUCGCGAGGACGCGUUUGCAGCCCCCUCUGCCUUUCCUCUAGGGCAGCCGAAGCGCAGGAGCCGCCUCGCCGGGGCUCGGAGCUGGUGUAGCUCAUAUUGGGGCUCUUUUCGGGGUUUGUAAUUUGGCCGUGGGUAGGUAAUUGGCUGGAGCAGGGCGGCAGGGCGCGGCAGCCAAUCAGCGUGCGGCUUCUAUAGAGCUUGAGUUAUUAGACGCUGAUCUCAAAACAUCCUUCAUCAGACACGAAGGAGAGGCCAACAGAUGAGGGAAGCCAUUUUUCUGCAAUGGAAUUAAAUGGCCAAGUGGGUUUUUCCUUUGUUGCAAAUGGGGAAUGUUUUUCCUUUGACUCCACCAUCCAGUUCAGGACGUCUCAGUGUGUUUAACAUUUGUCAACAGGCCCAAGGACUCACAGUUGGAAGACUGGAGAAGACUUUUUAAAAAGAUCUGGAUUUUUCCUUAUGACUUGGAAUCCAUCUUUGUCUUGUAUAACUAGGUCAUAGCACACCAUUCAUGUCAGCAGUUAACAGUUUUGAAUUCCAAAAAAACCUAAAGCAGUAAACAGUCCUCUGCGAAGCCGCCUUUUUGCCUACCCAACCCUGGAAAGUUUGCAGAAGUGGAAGGAGCAGAACUUGCCAUGAGUGUAACUUACAAAAAGGUAACAAGAACAAAGGCACCACCAUAACCCCCCAAUUUUCCCAACUAAAUCAAAAAAUAUAUAUGUUUUUACAAUAACGUCUCCAAAACCACCGCCCAGCUUGAUCUUCUAGACUCCAUGGCACCGGGUUGAGCGGGUUCUGGGAUGGAGAAGGGGCAACGGUUGGGCACCCCCCGCGUGGACAAUCUUUCCUUCUGUCGACGGCAGGGGCAGGCCUAGUUUGACAACCCUCCCACUAAGGAAUUCCUGGUGACUGGAAGGGGAGUGACUCGGGUCCCCAACCUCCUGGAGGUAAGGGAGCUAGCUGCCUCUCUGGUGGGUGUGCCCAGCUCUUCAGCCGGCCCAGCUCAGCCCAGCCUCCAAGGAAGCUGCGAGCAGCUGGCUUGGCUCCGAGGUAUUUUUGGCUACAGAUCAGCCCCGCUCCAUCACCACGACAGGUGGGUCCAAAUCAAACAUACUCCAGGCAGGUGGGGCUGGGGUUCUGCCUGCCUCCUGGCCGGCAGGGGUGGGUGGGCUGGCUGGGGCCGGUGUCAGCUGUUCCGCCUGGGCCGGGCCGGGCCGGGCUGGGAAGGGCGCUUGUGCUCACUUCCCGCCUCCACUCCUCUGCAGGCUUGUGCUCUCAUAAGCAGAGAUCACAGCCCAUUUCCUGGAUGGAGAAAGUGGAUGUUGAGGUCUGAGGCUUUUGAGGACAGUCAGGAGCCCUCCUGUGGGCUCGGGUGACACACUCAACAGCUUCUGGGUCCUCUUCCUCCACCUCCAGGAGUGCCUUAUUUACCUCCUGUGGUCCUGGGGAACCUUGGCCCCAGCCGUGCCUCCCCAGCCAAUCACAGCUCCUCUGGUUACCCCAAAGGAGCUCAGGGUUCAGCUGGUGGUUGGGCUCCUCUCCUCCUGUCCCCCACUCCCGUGGAGCCUGGCAGGGAAGUCCUCCAUGAUUUGACCCCGGUUACCUUGACAACGCUGCCUGGCCUCCCUCAUGGCCCAGCCAGUGAAGAAGCUGAAGAGGUUUUCUAGCUGUCGUGCAUUUGUCAGUCCGGGUCCCCUCCCUGGGUCCCCUCCCUGUUUCCCUCUGCCUGCCCUCCAGUGCUGCCAAGCCGUGUGCCAACCAGCACUCAGCCUUCCCUAAACGGUUCCCCUCUUCCAACCUCCAUAUCUUCUCCCAAGACUGUGACCUCCUGGAAGGCUGGGGCACAACUGCCUCUGAAUAAAUGUGUUGCAAAAAAGGAACAAGUUGCUGUGCGUUUGUCUAGUGGGUGCUUGACCCAGGAGACGCCCCUUUGUCCAGUGACAGGAGGGCGUCCACCCAGAACCUGGGGUGGGUCCUGGCUUCCCCUUCCCAGCUCCGCCGUGGUCUUGGGAUUCUAUGGGCGGUCGCUGGUGCCCUCUGGCGGUCAGGCCGUGCCUUGCUUGUACCGGCUGAGAACCUUGACUCACGUGAAACUGCCAGGUUGGCGGUUUUCCUCCACGAAGUGAGAUUUACCUGACCUUUGCCGAGAUCUUGAAAACGGAGUCUUUGGGGUGAGAUUCUGAGUCCUGCCAGCCCCUAUCUGAAGAAACUACCGAAGGUCACUUGCCCCCAACCAUGCUGCUGUUGGGGUUUUGUUAGAAAUGGACUUUUCCUACCCCAGUUGGUAGAAUCCCACUCUCUCGGCCACGCUCCCGUGCCCACCUGCCGUGGACUGACUCCAGGGGUCCCUCUGCCACCCUGACCGCUCACUUGGCUGGUGCCGAAGGCAGUCAGCCCGCCCGGGGUGGGGAUUACGGUGACCUCAGCCAUCAGACCUGAUAGAAUUGCCUACAGUUAGUGCUCAACAAGCUGUUUCCAUCAGGAGAUGCGAGGGUUGAGGGGAUUCAUGGGGUGAAGGACGUGGCUGCUGGCAGGGAAACGCAUUUUCUUACAUUUCUUGGUGUGGGGUUAUCAGUCUCCAAAACGCCAGAAGGACCCAGCUGACUUCAACUAGAGCUAGACCAAUCUGCCCCUCCCUGACAGCUACUGGCGUGGUUCACGCUUCUGGCUCCUGCUGGAAGGAGGUGCCCGCCCACGUGGUUUGGGGCCAACCUGCGGCCGGCGUUGAGGCGAUUGUCCAGCAGAGGGCGCUGGGUGUCCACCCUACAGCCCGGGGUCGGGUGCGGUUAAGGGGAGCCCAGUCCCUCACCCCGAGCCCGCGCGCACGCCGGCGCCCCGGGGCGAGGUGAGGUGGGCAGACAGGACCCUCCCAUCAGCAUCUUCCCCGGUGCCACCGCCGCUACCUCCUGUGGGGAAACUGAGGCCAGAGGCAGAUAGGUGCGAAGCCACGCCGCUGGGGCAGUGCAAAGCUGAG